rnacentral:rRNA from 1 species
UCCGGUUGAUCCUGCCGGAGGUUACUGCUAUCGGUGUUCGCCUAAGCCAUGCGAGUCAUAUGUUCUUCGUGAACAUGGCGUACUGCUCAGAAACACGUGGAUAACCUGCCCUUGGGACCGGGAUAACCCCGGGAAACUGGGGAUAAUACCGGAUAACGCAUAUCUGCUGGAAUGCUUUAUGCGUAAAAUGGAUUUGUCUGCCCAAGGAUGGGUCUGCGGCCUAUCAGGUAGUAGUGGGUGUAAUGUACCUACUAGCCUACGACGGGUACGGGUUGUGAGAGCAAGAGCCCGGAGAUGGAUUCUGAGACAUGAAUCCAGGCCCUACGGGGCGCAGCAGGCGCGAAAACUUUACAAUGCGGGAAACCGUGAUAAGGGGACACCGAGUGCCAGCAUCAUAUGUUGGCUGUCCAGAUGUGUAAAAUACAUCUGUUAGCAAGGGCCGGGCAAGACCGGUGCCAGCCGCCGCGGUAACACCGGCGGCCCGAGUGGUGAUCGUGAUUAUUGGGUCUAAAGGGUCCGUAGCCGGUUUGGUCAGUCCUCCGGGAAAUCUGACGGCUCAACCGUUAGGCUUUCGGUGGAUACUGCCAGACUUGGAACCGGGAGAGGUAAGAGGUACUACAGGGGUAGGAGUGAAAUCUUGUAAUCCCUGUGAGACCACCUGUGGCGAAGGCGUCUUACCAGAACGGGUUCGACGGUGAGGGACGAAAGCUGGGGGCACGAACCGGAUUAGAUACCCGGGUAGUCCCAGCCGUAAACGAUGCUCGCUAGGUGUCAGGCAUGGCGCGACCGUGUCUGGUGCCGCAGGGAAGCCGUGAAGCGAGCCACCUGGGAAGUACGGCCGCAAGGCUGAAACUUAAAGGAAUUGGCGGGGGAGCACAACAACGGGUGGAGCCUGCGGUUUAAUUGGAGUCAACGCCGGGA